UACGGAAGAUGCGAGCGUUGUUCGGAUUUAUUGGGUUUAAAGGGUGCGUAGGCGGCUUGUCAAGUCGGCGGUGAAAUGCCCGUGCUCAACAUGGGAAGUGCCGUUGAUACUGGCUGGCUGGAGUUCCGUUGCCGUGGGAGGAAUGUGUGGUGUAGCGGUGAAAUGCUUAGAUAUCACACAGAACACCGAUUGCGAAGGCAUCUCACGAAGCGUGGACUGACGCUGAGGCACGAAAGCGUGGGGAUCGAAC
rnacentral:rRNA from 1 species